rnacentral:rRNA from 1 species
UACGAAGGGGGCUAGCGUUGCUCGGAAUCACUGGGCGUAAAGGGUGCGUAGGCGGGUCUUUAAGUCAGAGGUGAAAUCCUGGAGCUCAACUCCAGAACUGCCUUUGAUACUGAGGAUCUUGAGUACGGGAGAGGUGAGUGGAACUGCGGGUGUAGAGGUGAAAUUCGUAGAUAUUCGCAAGAACACCAGUGGCGAAGGCGGCUCACUGGCCCGUUACUGACGCUGAGGCACGAAAGCGUGGGGAGCAAACAGG